rnacentral:piRNA from 1 species
UAACCUUCCAUUUCAAUCAGA